rnacentral:rRNA from 1 species
AUUGAACGCUGGCGGCAGGCCUAACACGUGCAAGUCGAGCGGAUGAAGGGAGCUUGCUCCUGGAUUCAGCGGCGGACGGGUGAGUAAUGCCUAGGAAUCUGCCUGGUAGUGGGGGAUAACGUCCGGAAACGGGCGCUAAUACCGCAUACGUCCUGAGGGAGAAAGUGGAGGAUCUUCGGACCUCACGCUAUCAGAUGAGCCUAGGUCGGAUUAGCUAGUUGGUGGGGUAAAGGCCUACCAAGGCGACGAUCCGUAACCGGUCUGAGAGGAUGAUCAGUCACACUGGAACUGAGACACGGUCCAGACUCCUACGGGAGGCAGCAGUGGGGAAUAUUGGACAAUGGGCGAAAGCCUGAUCCAGCCAUGCCGCGUGUGUGAAGAAGGUCUUCGGAUUGUAAAGCACUUUAAGUUGGGAGGAAGGGCAGUAAGUUAAUACCUUGCUGUUUUGACGUUACCAACAGAAUAAGCACCGGCUAACUUCGUG